UGAACUAGAAAAAAAAAGUCAACAAAAAGGUCACUCUUUCGCACUGAAACCCAAUCUCUCUCUCCCAUCACCACCGUCUUCUCCUCCUCUGCUCCUCGUAACCACCACUCCUCUCCACCUCUUCUUCUCCUGUCGUAAUCGCUCUCUCUAUUUCUAUCUGGGUGUUUGUAAAGAAUCUCUGCAUCUCUCCUUAUUCGCAGCUACCUUACCUGAAUCUCUGAAGAUUGUGGAGGUUUCAUUUUUCCUAUCAGCCGUCAUGGAUGACGAAAAAGGAUGAGACGGCCGUGGUGGCUUCAUCGUCACAGGAAAACCUGAUGAAACUCGACCAUUUAUCUCUUUCAGAUACUGGGUGUGCAUAAGAGGAACGGGACCAUUUAUCUUAGAGUGUAUACUAACUUUCAUUAGUCGCUGUUUCGAAGAGUGUAUACAUUUUUGCUACUAAUUUGGAUGAUCGGUAGAGAGAUUUGAGAGAGAGAAACUGCUUAAGUUCUGGAUACAAUCAUUUGUAGCAGGACGAUGAUUGUAUGGAUACAGGCUGGGAGUAGAACUAUUGAUCUGGAGCUCACAACAUUAUCAAGCACCAACCAUGUGGAACUUGCUCCAAUUGAUGCAGGCUUUCAGGACAGAUACAUCGUUCAAAAGAUCAUUAAAGAAAUGGCCAAGAAUAUACCAAUUGACACUAAAGCAAAGAGGGGAUAUAAGGGUAAGAACUAGUGUUCCACCUGACUGUAUAUCUGAUUUUGUAAUGAUGUUUGUGUAAGAUUUGACGAAAAUGUAGACAUGUUUGUGGUAUUAAUGUAAAUACAUUUUGGUUAUUAAUAAAAUUUGAAAUGAAUA